AGUUCACCUUCUCACAUGAGGCUCCCUGCUCAGCUCCUGGGGCUGUUGAUGUUCUGGGUCCCUGGAUCCAGCGGGGAUGUUGUGAUGACCCAGUCUCCACUUUCCCUGCUCAUCACCCAUGGAGAGCCAGCCUCUAUCUCCUACAAGUCUAGUCAGAGUCUCCUGCAUAGUGAUGGAAACAGCUAUUUGUCUUGGUAUCUGAAGAAGCCAGGCCAGUCUCCACAGCCCCUGAUCUACAAAGUUUCCACUAGGGCCUCUAGGGUCCCAGACAGGUUCAAUGGCAGUGGGUCAGGCACAGAUUUCACGCUAAAAAUCAGCAGGGUGGAGCCUGAGGAUGUUGGAGUUUAUUACUGCAUGCAAUGUACAAAGUCAUCCCACAGUGGUAUAGCCCUGAGCACACACCUCCCUGCUGGGUGGCCCAGCUGCCCACAUGUAUUGUUUGUCUUAGGAGCAGGCACCACAGAGAGCAAGACAAUAGAGAGCUUACAGGGAUGAGUUGCAGGAAACUGUCCCCAGGCAUGCAGGGGCUACACCUCAGGCAGAACCUACAGGAGAAUGGCGGGGCCUAAGUGCCCACUGAGCAACCAGACAUGACA